rnacentral:tRNA from 1 species
GGCGUCGUAGGUGACCGGCAGGCCCAGCGAGGUCAGGACCUCGCGGUGCCGUGCGGCGGUCGCAUCGUCGAGACGCCC